CCAGCAGCUGCGGUAAUUCCAGCUCCAAUAGCGUAUAUUUAAGUUGUUGCAGUUAAAAAGCUCGUAGUUGGAUUUCGGGUGGGGUUGUGCGGUCCGCCUCUGGUGUGCACUGCUCGGCUCCACCUUCCUGCCGGGGACGGGCUCCUGGGCUUCACUGUUCGGGACUCGGAGUCGGCGAGGUUACUUUGAGUAAAUUAGAGUGUUCAAAGCAGGCCUACGCUCUGAAUACAUUAGCAUGGAAUAACACGAUAGGACUCUGGCCUAUCUGUUGGUCUGUGGGACCGGAGUAAUGAUUAAGAGGGGUAGUCGGGGGCAUUCGUAUUCCGUUGUCAGAGGUGAAAUUCUUGGAUUUACGGAAGACGAACAUCUGCGAAAGCAUUUGCCAAGGAUACUUUCAUUGAUCAAGAACGAAAGU
rnacentral:rRNA from 1 species